AAACAAAUCGGAUUCAUAACUAUGCAGG
rnacentral:piRNA from 1 species